rnacentral:tRNA from 1 species
GCAGUGGUGGUUCAGUGGUAGAAUUCUCACCUUCCAUGCAGGAGACCUGGGUUCGAUUCCCAGGCGAUGCA